CGUCACGGGGAGCCAGGGCACCAGGAGUGGGGUCCGAGAGGAGCUCGUAAUCUGGGGGGCACAGGCAGUAAGCACCGCCCUGCAUUGGCCCUGCGC